rnacentral:rRNA from 1 species
GACGAACGCUGGCGGCGUGCUUAACACAUGCAAGUCGAGCGGUAAGGCCCUUUCGGGGGUACACGAGCGGCGAACGGGUGAGUAACACGUGAGCAAUCUGCCCUUCACUUUGGGAUAACCCCGGGAAACCGGGGCUAAUACCGAAUGCGACCACCGAUGGCAUCGUCUGGUGGUGGAAAGUUCCGGCGGUGAAGGAUGAGCUCGCGGCCUAUCAGCUUGUUGGUGGGGUAACGGCCCACCAAGGCAUGGACGGGUAGCCGGCCUGAGAGGGUGACCGGCCACACUGGGACUGAGACACGGCCCAGACUCCUACGGGAGGCAGCAGUGGGGAAGUAUUGGACAAUGGGCGAAAGCCUGAUCCAGCAACGCCGCGUGAGGGAUGACGGCC